rnacentral:rRNA from 1 species
AUUGAACGCUGGCGGCAUGCCUUACACAUGCAAGUCGAACGGCAGCACGGGAGCAAUCCUGGUGGCGAGUGGCGAACGGGUGAGUAAUAUAUCGGAACGUGCCCAGUCGUGGGGGAUAACGUAGCGAAAGCUACGCUAAUACCGCAUACGAUCUAUGGAUGAAAGCGGGGGAUCGCAUGCCCUCGCGCGAUUGGAGCGGCCGAUAGCAGAUUAGGUAGUUGGUGGGGUAAAGGCUCACCAAGCCGACGAUCUGUAGCUGGUCUGAGAGGACGACCAGCACCACUGGGACUGAAACACGGCCCAGACUCCUACGGGAGGCAGCAGUGGGGAAUUUUGGACAAUGGGCGAAAGCCUGAUCCAGCCAUUCCGCGUGCAGGAUGAAGGCCCUCGGGUUGUAAACUGCUUUUGUACAGAACGAAAAGGUUUCUACUAAUACUAGGAGCUCAUGACGGUACUGUAAGAAUAAGCACCGGCUAACUACGUGCCAGCAGCCGCAGUAA